AUUGAACGCUGGCGGCAGGCCUAACACAUGCAAGUCGAGCGGAUGAGAGGAGCUUGCUUCUCGAUUCAGCGGCGGACGGGUGAGUAAUGCCUAGGAAUCUGCCUGGUAGUGGGGGACAACGUUUCGAGAGGAACGCUAAUACCGCAUACGUCCUACGGGAGAAAGCAGGGGACCUUCGGGCCUUGCGCUAUCAGAUGAGCCUAGGUCGGAUUAGCUAGUUGGUGAGGUAAUGGCUCACCAAGGCGACGAUCCGUAACUGGGCUAAGAGGAUGAUCAGCCACACUGGAACUGAGACACGGUCCAGGCUCCUACGGGAGGCAGCAGUGGGGAAUAUUGGACAAUGGGCGAAAGCCUGAUCCAGCCAUGCCGCGUGUGUGAAGAAGGUCUUCGGAUUGUAAAGCACUUUAAGUUGGGAGGAAGGGUUGUAGAUUAAUACUCUGCAAUUUUGACGUUACCGACAGAAUAAGCACCGGCUAACUCUGUGCCAGCAGCCGCAGUAAGAC
rnacentral:rRNA from 1 species